rnacentral:miRNA from 1 species
UCAAGUAAUGAUGGGCGUAUA